AUACGGGGGGAGCAAGCGUUAUCCGGAAUUACUGGGCGUAAAGGGCGCGUAGGCGGGCCUUUAAGUCAGGUCUAAAAUCCAACAGCUUAACUGUUGAUUCGGACCUGAAACUGGAGACCUUGAGUGCAAGAGAGGAAAGCGGAAUUCCUGGUGUAGCGGUGAAAUGCGUAGAUAUCAGGAAGAACACCGGUGGCGAAGGCGGCUUUCUGGCUUGCUACUGACGCUGAUGCGCGAAAGCGUGGGGAGCGAACAGGAUUAGAUACCCUGGUAGUCCACGCCCUAAACGUUGUACACUUGGUGUCGGAAGAUCUAACCCUUUCGGUGCCGCAGCUAACGCGUUAAGUGUACCGCCUGGGGACUACGGUCGCAAGGCUGAA
rnacentral:rRNA from 1 species